CCCAUGCUGACUACUCCUGAUAACCUUCUUCUCUUCAUACUACGUUGAACUCAUCUUUCAACACUUCUACCAUUUCAGUAUUGUUGAGAAAGCCAUGUAACAGGUGAUUGUCAUCUUAUCUGUUACCAUGUACUGCAGUCUACAGUCUACAGUGGAAAGAAGAAACAAAGGCUAUCACAUAUGACCACCAUUUUCAUGACUCAGCUUCUGGGGAAGUCCCAGAUAUACAUAACCUCACAGUCAUGAGAAUCUGUAGCAACUGAUAUUGCUUUAGUCUUUCUUUUCCAUGCCUUCUCCAAGGCCUGUUCAGGACUUGAUAUCUCUGUCAAAUAUA